UUAUUUUUAUUAUUAUUAUUAUUAGUGAAAUAUUUGUUUAAUAUCUUAUUCUUCUUAAUGAAAAUAUAAAUAUUUAUAACAAAUUUUUAGGUUUCUUAUGCUAUUGGAGUAGCAGAACCUCUUUCAAUCACAGUUUUUUGAUUAUGGUACUUCUAAAUUAUCUCAAAAUGAACUUUUAGAUAUAGUUAAUAAAAAUUUUGAUUUACGACCUGGGAAAAUCGUUAAAGAAUUGAAUCUUCGUAAUCCCAUUUAUCAACAAACUAGUACAUAUGGACAUUUCGGUCGAGAAGGAUUCACUUGGGAACAGCCAAAAACUCUAAUUCUCGAUUGAUGAGAAUAUAGAUAAAUCAGUUUGACGUUUCUUAUUAUAAAACGUCUAUCGUUCUCAAUAAUCAUAUAUCUCGUAAACGUUCUUCGAGAUUUUCCGACCUCCGCGCUACUUCGCCAAGUCCAUCAAUUCCUUUUGCCAAUUUAGUACUAGCAAGAAGAAUGACAUAUUAGGUUCUCCACAUCACGAGAUACUUGGUAUUAUGUGGUAUUAUAGUACAAAUUUUGUUUAUCCAGUAUGCAGACAAGAGCAGUCAAUUUUUCUCUACUAUUUGAAAACUGAAUUGAAGUUUAUCAAUCAUUAGAUAUAAUGAAACUAUUGACAAUGAGGAAAAAUAAACUAAACUAAACCUGUUAUGAGUAUCUUAUCCUACAUAUGUAUUCGUAACAGUAAAGUAGUUUAUUCAGUGAUGCAAUUCAUUACUGUGGCUUGUAAGUGGUGUGUGUUGGAAGUAAAAAAUGAUAAAAGAACAAUAAUACUUAAAAUGAAAAACAAUCUAUAUUUCAAAAAUGUAUAAAUUGGCAACAUCGGGCCGUGCCUCAAAGCAAAUAUUUGAGAUGAAAACGUUCUCUCAAAUUUUUAACAGUGUUUUAGUACUUUAUAUGAACGUACAUGAAAGUUUGACCAACUUCCUUUUAGAGAAUAUUAAUGUAAUAUUUUAAUAACUUGUGUUUUUACAUAUUCUAGCAAAUUCAAUAAUUAAUAAUAAUGGUGCUUUCAUGUAUGUUUCUUCAUUAGAAUUAUUUAUCGUUCGAGUGCAAAUAUAAACUGGUAACGACUAUGUACAUUAAUUUUAGCAAAGUGGGAAAAUGAAUUAAUUAAAGCGACCAAUUAUAAACGAACUUACUUUUUGCAUAGUUAAACCUUUGUGACAUAUGCAGUAUAAUGUUGACGAGGAGUUAAUAAUAUCGCAUUUAUUUAAAUCUGAUUGUUAAUUAAAACAAAAAUUUUUUAAUUAUAUUUAAAUUUAAGUAAUGGCGAUACUAUUAACUCUCAUAUAUUUAUAUACAUAUAUAUAUAUAUAUAUUUUUUUCCCUCUUUGCUUUGUUUAAUUAGAUAAUUUUAAUAGACAUUUUCGAUCUUGUAAUGUAUAGCAAAUAACGCAAAAUCGAAUGUUAGACCUUAUUUUGUGGAGGUCUAAUACAGAUCGUGUGGCGGAGCUCGAAAAUUAUACGAUUUUUUCAAUUUAGAGUGUGAAGAUCUGUGACAUUAUCGUAUUUUGAACAUCAACAGAAGUGUAAAUGUGAAAAUUUAGUAAAUUCGUUCCGUUAGAUUGAUGUACCGAUCUAUCGUGUAAUGGUAUUGGCAGUGUAAAGAUGCACAAGAUUAUAUGCAAAUCAUAAUAAAAAAAGAUUUUUUAAUAAAAUAUUAAAUUGUCACUGA